ACGGGAGGCAGCAGUGGGGAAUAUUGGGCAAUGGGGGAAACCCUGACCCAGCAACGCCGCGUGGAGGAAGAAGGUCUUCGGAUCGUAAACUCCUGUCCUAUGGGACGAGAAGAAGACGGUACCAUAGGAGGAAGCCCCGGCUAACUACGUGCCAGCAGCCGCGGUAAUACGUAGGGGGCGAGCGUUGUCCGGAAUGAUUGGGCGUAAAGGGCGCGUAGGCGGCCCGGUAAGUCUGAAGUGAAAGUCCUGCUUUCAAGGUGGGAAUUGCUUUGGAUACUGUCGGGCUUGAGUGCAGGAGAGGUUAGUGGAAUUCCCAGUGUAGCGGUGAAAUGCGUAGAUAUUAGGAGGAACACCAGUGGCGAAGGCGGCUUUCUGGACUGUAACUGACGCUGAGGCACGAAAGCGUGGGGAGCAAACAGGAUUAGAUACCCUGGUA
rnacentral:rRNA from 1 species